rnacentral:rRNA from 1 species
GGGUUGUGAGGUUAAGCGACUAAGCGUACACGGUGGAUGCCCUGGCAGUCAGAGGCGAUGAAGGGCGUGCUAAUCUGCGAUAAGCGCCGGUAAGGUGAUAUGAACCGUUAUAACCGGCGAUACCCGAAUGGGGAAACCCAGUGUGAUUCGUCACACUAUCAUUAACUGAAUCCAUAGGUUAAUGAGGCGAACCGGGGGAACUGAAACAUCUAAGUACCCCGAGGAAAAGAAAUCAACCGAGAUUCCCCCAGUAGCGGCGAGCGAACGGGGAGGAGCCCAGAGCCUGAAUCAGCAUGUGUGUUAGUGGAAGCGUCUGGAAAGGCGCGCGAUACAGGGUGACAGCCCCGUACACAAAAGCGCAUGUGCUGUGAGCUCGAUGAGUAGGGCGGGACACGUGGUAUCCUGUCUGAAUAUGGGGGGACCAUCCUCCAAGGCUAAAUACUCCUGACUGACCGAUAGUGAACCAGUACCGUGAGGGAAAGGCGAAAAGAACCCCGGCGAGGGGAGUGAAAAAGAACCUGAAACCGUGUACGUACAAGCAGUGGGAGCNNNNNNNNNNNNNNNNNNNNNNNNNNNNNNNNNNNNNNNNNNNNNNNNNNNNNNNNNNNGGGCGUUAAGUUGCAGGGUAUAGACCCGAAACCCGGUGAUCUAGCCAUGGGCAGGUUGAAGGUUGGGUAACACUAACUGGAGGACCGAACCGACUAAUGUUGAAAAAUUAGCGGAUGACCUGUGGCUGGGGGUGAAAGGCCAAUCAAACCGGGAGAUAGCUGGUUCUCCCCGAAAGCUAUUUAGGUAGCGCCUCGUGAAUUCAUCUCCGGGGGUAGAGCACUGUUUCGGCUAGGGGGCCAUCCCGGCUUACCAACCCGAUGCAAACUGCGAAUACCGGAGAAUGUUAUCACGGGAGACACACGGCGGGUGCUAACGUCCGUCGUGAAGAGGGAAACAACCCAGACCGCCAGCUAAGGUCCCAAAGUCAUGGUUAAGUGGGAAACGAUGUGGGAAGGCCCAGACAGCCAGGAUGUUGGCUUAGAAGCAGCCAUCAUUUAAAGAAAGCGUAAUAGCUCACUGGUCGAGUCGGCCUGCGCGGAAGAUGUAACGGGGCUAAACCAUGCACCGAAGCUGCGGCAGCGACACUGUGUGUUGUUGGGUAGGGGAGCGUUCUGUAAGCCUGCGAAGGUGGCCUGUGAGGGUUGCUGGAGGUAUCAGAAGUGCGAAUGCUGACAUAAGUAACGAUAAAGCGGGUGAAAAGCCCGCUCGCCGGAAGACCAAGGGUUCCUGUCCAACGUUAAUCGGGGCAGGGUGAGUCGACCCCUAAGGCGAGGCCGAAAGGCGUAGUCGAUGGGAAACGGGUUAAUAUUCCCGUACUUGGUGUUACUGCGAAGGGGGGACGGAGAAGGCUAUGUUGGCCGGGCGACGGUUGUCCCGGUUUAAGCGUGUAGGUGUGUGUUCCAGGUAAAUCCGGUUCACUUUAACACUGAGGCGUGACGACGAGGCACUACGGUGCUGAAGCAACAAAUGCCCUGCUUCCAGGAAAAGCCUCUAAGCAUCAGGUAACAUCAAAUCGUACCCCAAACCGACACAGGUGGUCAGGUAGAGAAUACCAAGGCGCUUGAGAGAACUCGGGUGAAGGAACUAGGCAAAAUGGUGCCGUAACUUCGGGAGAAGGCACGCUGACACGUAGGUGAAGUGAUUUACUCAUGGAGCUGAAGUCAGUCGAAGAUACCAGCUGGCUGCAACUGUUUAUUAAAAACACAGCACUGUGCAAACACGAAAGUGGACGUAUACGGUGUGACGCCUGCCCGGUGCCGGAAGGUUAAUUGAUGGGGUCAGCGCAAGCGAAGCUCCUGAUCGAAGCCCCGGUAAACGGCGGCCGUAACUAUAACGGUCCUAAGGUAGCGAAAUUCCUUGUCGGGUAAGUUCCGACCUGCACGAAUGGCGUAAUGAUGGCCAGGCUGUCUCCACCCGAGACUCAGUGAAAUUGAACUCGCUGUGAAGAUGCAGUGUACCCGCGGCAAGACGGAAAGACCCCGUGAACCUUUACUAUAGCUUGACACUGAACAUUGAGCCUUGAUGUGUAGGAUAGGUGGGAGGCUUUGAAGUGUGGACGCCAGUCUGCAUGGAGCCGACCUUGAAAUACCACCCUUUAAUGUUUGAUGUUCUAACGUGGACCCGUUACCCGGGUUGCGGACAGUGUCUGGUGGGUAGUUUGACUGGGGCGGUCUCCUCCUAAAGAGUAACGGAGGAGCACGAAGGUUGGCUAAUCCUGGUCGGACAUCAGGAGGUUAGUGCAAUGGCAUAAGCCAGCUUGACUGCGAGCGUGACGGCGCGAGCAGGUGCGAAAGCAGGUCAUAGUGAUCCGGUGGUUCUGAAUGGAAGGGCCAUCGCUCAACGGAUAAAAGGUACUCCGGGGAUAACAGGCUGAUACCGCCCAAGAGUUCAUAUCGACGGCGGUGUUUGGCACCUCGAUGUCGGCUCAUCACAUCCUGGGGCUGAAGUAGGUCCCAAGGGUAUGGCUGUUCGCCAUUUAAAGUGGUACGCGAGCUGGGUUUAGAACGUCGUGAGACAGUUCGGUCCCUAUCUGCCGUGGGCGCUGGAGAACUGAGGGGGGCUGCUCCUAGUACGAGAGGACCGGAGUGGACGCAUCACUGGUGUUCGGGUUGUCAUGCCAAUGGCACUGCCCGGUAGCUAAAUGCGGAAGAGAUAAGUGCUGAAAGCAUCUAAGCACGAAACUUGCCCCGAGAUGAGUUCUCCCUGAGACUUAGAGUCUCCUGAAGGAACGUUGAAGACGACGACGUUGAUAGGCCGGGUGUGUAAGCGCAGCGAUGCGUUGAGCUAACCGGUACUAAUGAACCGUGAGGCUUAACCUUACAACGCCGAAG